UUACUACCUGUAUUGAUUGUUAAGCACCCAGUAGCUGCCAUUUUUGGUCCGCAAUUUAUUGCUGCGUUAAUUUGCUUGUCUGUAACCAGAUAGAAACCAUAUUAGUUUUUGGUGGAUACCUUGAAGACGUUACUUGCUUAAUUUGAAGAUUGAAGUUUCUUAUUUCUGUGUUGCUGGUCCUGAAUUUUUUGGGAGCUAAAAGCACCUGCUACUUUCAGUUGCUGUCCGUGUCUUUCAGUUGAUUGUUUGUUGUAUUUAAUAGUGUUU
rnacentral:misc_RNA from 1 species